CUACACAUCUCUGCUCUGUCCAGAUGUGGAGUCAAUGACACACGCUGACCUGUAGAGAGCAGCAAACACUAAGAUAGUUUAUACCCAAAUCAUUACUUUAUUUAACCUUUAUAUAACUAGGUAAGUCAGUUAAGAACAAAUUCUUAUUUACAAUGAGGGCCUACCGGGGAACAGUGGGUUAACUGCCUUGUUCAGGGGGCAGAACGACAGAUUUGUUCCUUGUCACCACGGGGGAUUCGAUCUAGCAACCUUUUGGUUACUAGUCCAACGCUCGUCCAACCACUGAGCUACGCUGCCACCCCCUAUCCUAAUGGAUUGUGUUGCUGUAGUGCUGUGCCUCUGAUACCCGGCAAACAACAGCCCUGCUGUCACACACAGGGAGCACCCACUCACACUGGGGGCACCCACUCACACAGGGAGCACCCACUCACACAGGGAGCACCCACUCGCACUGGGAGCACCCACUCGCACUGGGAGCACCCACUCGCACAGGGAGCACCCACUCGCACAGGGAGCACCCACUCGCACAGGGAGCACCCACUCGCACAGGGAGCACCCACUCGCACAGGGAGCACCCACUCACUGGGAGCACCCACUCACACUGGGAGCACCCACUCACACACACAUGGAUGUAUGCAUGCUUUACACAAGACCAUCUAAAAGUACAGACAUUUUAAUGAAAAGUAUGUAGCCAUUUUUGGUGGCAGCUAAUUUAUUGGCAUGUAAAUUCAAAACUAUUCGUUUGUCAAUACAACUGAAAUGAAGGGAAGUUUGUGUGUUUGUUAUGACUCCUUUCCCCUGUCUAGCUUUACUGCGGUGUCCCCUGUCUAGCCUUACUGCGGUGUCCCCUGUCUAGCUUUACUGCGGUGUCCAGCUUUACUGCGGUGUCCCCUGUCUAGCUUUACUGCGGUGUCCCCUGUCUAGCUUUACUGCGGUGUCCAGCUUUACUGCGGUGUCCCCUGUCUAGCAUUACUGCGGUGUCCCCUGUCUAGCCUUACUGCGGUGUCCAGCUUUACUGCGGUGUCCCCUGUCUAGCUUUACUGCGGUGUCCCCUGUCUAGCUUUACUGCGGUGUCCAGCUUUACUGCGGUGUCCCCUGUCUAGCCUUACUGCGGUGUCCAGCUUUACUGCGGUGUCCCCUGUCUAGCUUUACUGCGGUGUCCCCUGUCUAGCUUUACUGCGGUGUCCAGCUUUACUGCGGUGUCCCCUGUCUAGCUUUACUGCGGUGUCCCCUGUCUAGCUUUGCUGCGGUGUCCCCUGUCUAGCAUUACUGCAGUGUCCCCUGUCCAGCCUUGCUGCGGUGUCCCCUGUCCAGCUUUACUGCGGUGUCCCCUGUCUAGCUUUACUGCGGUGUCCAGCUUUACUGCAGUGUCCCCGUCUAUCUUUACUGCGGUGUCCCCAUCCAGCUUUACUGCGGUGUCCCCUGUCUAGCUUUACUGCGGUGUCCAGCUUUACUGCGGUGUCCCCUGUCUAGCAUUACUGCGGUGUCCCCUGUCUAGCUUUACUGCGGUGUCCAGCUUUACUGCGGUGUCCCCUGUCUAGCAUUACUGCGGUGUCCCUGUCUAGCUUUACUGCGGUUGUACCAUGUACUGUAUAGACCACUCUGUAAAAUAACUGACAACUUCACAGCAGUGAGCGGUGUCUUUGGCUCAGAGCGCUGUGUGUGUGUGUGUGUGUGUGUGUGUGUGUGUGUGUGUGUGUGUGUGUGUGUGUGUGUGUGUGUGUGUGUGUGUGUGUGUGUGAGAGAGAGCUGGGUUGCCUAUCUACUGGGACAACACACACACACCUCACUUUUUUUUCUUCUCUUAUCUUUUCCAUCCCUCGCCGUUGCCUUCUGCUGUCGCCGUGACGCAUGCACCCUAACGACCAUGGCUGUAGACUGUUACCAUGUUACCGUCUCUACAGUAACAAUCUAAAGCCACGGUCGCCAUGGAGACAGCAGGGAGAAGGAGGAGUGGGAGUUGGCAUGGUAACUGGAGAUGGCGAUGUCCGAUUGGCUCUUGGGUGGAUACGACGUGCGCACAUCAGCAUAGAAAUCCCCCAAUACUGGCCCAUGCAGUCAGGCUGGCUCACACACAGGGGCACGAGAAAGAGAGAGAGGAGAAGAGAGCGUUGUGGAGUUUUUGUGGAGUCCUCUGGAAAGUUGCGACGAGGACAUUCCUAGAGACUUACCAAGACAUGCCAUAUCUUAAUUUGCCCAGUUUCACACAGCAUGAAAAUAAUCCUGCAGCAACAGGAAAUGUGAAUUGUUAUGUGGAUUAUAAUUCAUGGAUUUUUUUGUUGUUGUAGGGGUUGAUACACUCUUUUUGUUGGACAAAUCAAGUCUGACGUUUUCAAAUACACUACACAUUUACAUUUCCUGUUGUGAAGGAAAAUUCCUGCAACAACAGGAUGAUCAAAUUAAGACGACAUCUGUACAAUACCAUUGUCAGGGUGUUAGUUAACCUAAACUAUAGUUUCCAUAGCCGCACUUCCAGGGCGAUGUCUCCAGGACAGGUAGUGUUGCCACGGCGAGUUGCCAGGCAUCAGUAGCCAUGACUGUAGACUGUUACUGUAACUGUGAGACUUUUUUUUAAAGCAGUAAGCAGUCUAAAGCCAAGGUGCUGAUGCUCUGGCAGUCAGGGGGUCGUAACCACGGUAACCAGGAGAAGGAGGGAGAGAACAGGUCGGAUAGCCUACAUACCACUGCACCUGCAAUGAAAAGAAGAGAAGAGAAGAUGUUUAAAAAAAAAAAAAAAAAGUUAAAAUAUUGUACAUCCCAAAAUGCCUUACUUUUGACCAGAGACCUUUUUCUAUUUGGGACACAACCUUCAUGGGAGGCUUUCUUCCUGUUUCGUUCCCUAAUGUCAUUAUGUUAAUGAUCAGAAAGAAAAACAAACCACGACGGUCAGUGUCCCAGUACGUAUAUCUGCCAAUGGGAACGGUCAGUGUCCCAGUACGUAUAUCUGCCAAUGGGAACGGUCAGUGUCCCAGUACGUAUAUCUGCCAAUGGGAACGGUCAGUGUCCCAGUACGUAUAUCUGCCAA
rnacentral:lncRNA from 1 species